rnacentral:rRNA from 1 species
AGUCGAGCGGUAACAGAUAUAGCUUGCUAUCUGGUGACGAGCGGCGGACGGGUGAGUAAUGCUUGGGAAUAUGCCUUAUGGUGGGGGACAACAGUUGGAAACGACUGCUAAUACCGCAUAACGUCUACGGACCAAAGGGGGGGAUCUUCGGACCUCUCGCCAUUUGAUUAGCCCAAGUGAGAUUAKCUAGUUGGUGAGGUAAUGGSUCACCAAGGCGACAAUCUCUAUCUGGUUUGAGAGGAUGAUCAGCCACACUGGGACUGAGACACGGCCCACACUCCUACAGGAGGCAGCACA